AGUGCCUAGCUGGGGUGGCCCUUGGGAGGACACCAGAGAGGCUCCUGAGGGGUGGUGGGGAAGGUCCUUGCCGCCUUGGGGCCUUUCAUCUGUUCCCUCCUCAGAAGUUGAAUGAGUGAAUGAAUGAGUGAGUGAGUGAGUGAGUGAGUGAGUGGGGACAGGCUUCAACACAAGCACUCCAUCUGCUUCCGGGGGAGAGGAAAGGUGGAGGACUUCAUGUACCAAGAUGGCUGCUACUCCAGGGUAGCACCCAGAGCUCCUAAAUCCUGACUCCAUCUGUUGCAGGCUGGGUGACCUUGAUUUCUUCUAAAAAUGCAAGUAGGGUUAAAGGCACGUCCUUGUCUUACUCCCUUGGCCUUGCCUUUCAUGCCCCAUGCGGUGGAUGCCUUUCCACACUUACCAGAGACCACCCAUUCAUACGCCACAGCUGCAAAGAAUUCUAUUGGACAGAUGACUCAACUGGUCUCCACUUCCAGACUCAGGGUUGUGUUAGAUUCUGAUAUUACACCAACCUGAGGUAAGCUGCUUUGCAUGCAUCCUAUUCACAGUGUGUCAGGUGACAGCCCAGAAGGGAGCUUGCUCCAUGGAAAACUUCCUAAGUGGUGACUUGAGAAGCAACCACCACUCUCCCCAGGGACAGGUCACAGUGAGCUGUUGUCUCACCCUUGUCAUGGUGAGGCCAUGGCAUUUACGCUUAGCUUUUAUUUUACAAUUCUUCGGAGUGAGACUGAACACCAAACCCUGAAGAUGAGCUGUGUCUUUCCUGUGACUCCCUUGUUUUGUUUUCUGCUAGAUCGGACCUGGCUUUCACCUCUACCAGCUCUUUACAGACUAGAGACGUGGCCUUGGUCUAUGAUAGGAGCUACAAAAAUAGUUUUUUUCCCCUCCUAUUUGUCUUUUGAUUUUUACACCAGGCUCUUCCUGAUAUUUAUUUUUGACAUGUAGAAUUAUUUCACAAUUUGAAUUCCUCAAUUGUGUUCUUUGUUGGCUUUGGGAUUCUGAAUUACAAUUAAAAGAAGAGAAAGGAAUUCUCUCGAGACCUUUCUCAAGGCAAUGGCUGUUGGAUGUAGCUCACGCCUCCUGAGCCCUGCAGGGUGACAGUGUAGCUUUCCUUCUGCUGCAUGACACUAUUUUAAGGUAGACAUGAACGAACAUCUCUCUACUCACCCCAGCUAAGGAACCAAUGCACAUCAAAGACAAAUUUCACCAAAUCCCAAUUGGUGAACCAGUGGGUUUUAUUUGGGGUCACUUACAGGAAUGUGGGUGAGGUGUUACUUACAGGAGCAGUAAUGACUCAAAGACAGCUGCUUCACCAAAGCCCACCACAGCAUGGGUGAUUGUACUUGUUUGUUUGUUUGUUUUUUCACUCUUUGGGGGCCCACCACCCAGCUCCCAAAUAAAUACACAGAGAUUUAUUCUAAUGAAUGCCUGGCCUUAUCUUGGCUUGUUUCUAGCCAGCUUUUCUAACUAAAAUUAACCUGUUUCUCCAAAGAGGGCC
rnacentral:lncRNA from 1 species